rnacentral:tRNA from 1 species
GGGGAAUUAGCUCAAAUGGUAGAGCGCUUGCUUAGCAUGCGAGAGGUAGCGGGAUCAAUGCCCGCAUUCUCCA